GACGAACGCUGGCGGCGUGCUUAACACAUGCAGGUCGAACGGAAAGGCCCUGCUUUUGUGGGGUGCUCGAGUGGCGAACGGGUGAGUAACACGUGAGUAACCUGCCCUUGACUUUGGGAUAACUUCAGGAAACUGGGGUUAAUACCGGAUAGGAGCUCCUGCUGCAUGGUGGGGGUUGGAAAGUUUCGGCGGUUGGGGAUGGACUCGCGGCUUAUCAGCUUGUUGGUGGGGUAGUGGCUUACCAAGGCUUUGACGGGUAGCCGGCCUGAGAGGGUGACCGGCCACAUUGGGACUGAGAUACGGCCCAGACUCCUACGGGAGGCAGCAGUGGGGAAUAUUGCACAAUGGGCGGAAGCCUGAUGCAGCAACGCCGCGUGCGGGAUGACGGCCUUCGGGUUGUAAACCGCUUUCGCCUGUGACGAAGCGUGAGUGACGGUAAUGGGUAAAGAAGCACCGGCUAACUACGUG
rnacentral:rRNA from 1 species